CCUCAACCCAACCUUGUGGGACAUAUAAGCAUGCUUCACUAGGCGUUCAGUAAUCAUAAAUUCCUUUGAGCGGCUUAGUAGGUCGAUUUUGAGGAUCCAUUGAUCGUGUCUGUGAUACUCCUUCGCUUAAGCUUCCAUUUUCGAAAUCACAAAUCACAAGCAAACAAUUUCUUGGCGACCGAACAUUCUUUUCAUCCAAUACGUUCGAGGGAGGGAACAAUAUUCGUUCCGAUUUGUGAGACGAAAUCCCAACGCACACGAUAAGGG
rnacentral:misc_RNA from 1 species